UCCCUGGUAGCUCAGUCAGUAAAGAAUCUGUCUGCAAUGCAGAAGACCCAGGUUUGAUCCCUGGGUUGGGAA
rnacentral:tRNA from 1 species